rnacentral:rRNA from 1 species
CUACGGGAGGCAGCAGUAGGGAAUAUUGCACAAUGGGCGAAAGCCUGAUGCAGCAACGCCGCGUGCACGAUGAAGGUCUUCGGAUCGUAAAGUGCUUUUCUGGGAGAUGAGAAAGGACAGUAUCCCAGGAAUAAGUCUCGGCUAACUACGUGCCAGCAGCCGCGGUAAAACGUAGGAGGCAAGCGUUAUCCGGAUUCACUGGGCGUAAAGCGCGUGCAGGCGGCUCGGUAAGUUGGGCGUGAAAUCUCCUGGCUUAACUAGGAGAGGCCGUUCAAUACUACCGGGCUAGAGAGCAGUAGAGGAAGAUGGAAUUCCCGGUGUAGUGGUGAAAUGCGUAGAUAUCGGGAGGAACACCAGUGGCGAAGGCGGUCUUCUGGACUGUUUCUGACGCUCAGACGCGAAAGCUAGGGUAGUAAACGGGAUUAGAUACCCCGGU